UACCAGCUCUUCGAGUGGUGUGGAUGUUUAUUGGGCCUAAAGCAUCCGUAGCUGGCUGGGCAAGUCCCCUGUUAAAUCCACCGAUUUAAUCGUUGGAGUGCGGGGGAUACUGUUCGGCUAGGGGACGGGAGAGGCAGACGGUAUUUUCGGGGUAGGGGUGAAAUCCUAUAAUCCCGGGAAGACCACCAGUGGCGAAGGCUGUCUGCUAGAACGCGCCCGACGGUGAGGGAUGAAAGCUGGGGGAGUGAACCGGAUUAGAUACCCGGGUAGUCCCAGCUGUAAACGAUGCAGGCUAGGUGUUUUGGCGGCCACGUGCCGCUCUAGUGCCGCAGGGAAGCCGUUAAGCCUGCCGCCUGGGGAGUACGGCCGCAAGGCUGAAACUUAAAGGAAUUGGCGGGGGAGCACUACAAGGGGUGAAGGCUGCGGUUU
rnacentral:rRNA from 1 species